AUCCAAGGUGAUUACUUCUGUAAGGGACCAACAAGAGCCCCACUAAAGUGGCAACUUUGGAAAAAAAUUAGACACGUGUUUAGUCACUUGAACCAGAGGAUGCUUCCAUUU
rnacentral:snoRNA from 1 species